rnacentral:rRNA from 1 species
UGGGGAAUAUUGCACAAUGGGGGAAACCCUGAUGCAGCGACGCCACGUGAACGAAGAAGGUAUUCGUAUCGUAAAGUUCUGUCCUAUGGGAAGAUAAUGACAGUACCAUAGAAGAAAGCUCCGGCUAAAUACGUGCCAGCAGCCGCGGUAAUACGUAUGGAGCGAGCGUUGUCCGGAAUUAUUGGGCGUAAAGGGUACGCAGGCGGUUUAAUAAGUCGAAUGUUAAAGAUCGGGGCUCAACCCCGUAAAGCAUUGGAAACUGAUAAACUUGAGUAGUGGAGAGGAAAGUGGAAUUCCUAGUGUAGUGGUGAAAUGCGUAGAUAUUAGGAGGAAUACCAGUAGCGAAGGCGACUUUCUGGACACAAACUGACGCUGAGGUACGAAAGCGUGGGGAGCAAACAGG